UCUGAAGCAAACACAAAGGAGACACUUCAUAUGGCAUACUGGAGGGGGACAUAAUUCUCUGCGGGCUUCUUCAAAUAGCCAGUCAUCUCGUAGCAGUGGACGUUGAUUCUAUUGACACCCAAGGGGCUUCCUGGCUACUCCCGUCACUCAAACGCUCGGGAGCUCUCAGGGCCGGUGCUGUGAAGCUUGGCGGAUGUUCUCUAACCUCCCCCUGACCUUUGCAUCCUGGACCGCAGAGGUGUUCUAGAGGCGUGACAGAGCUACAGGUGGAGAACCUGACUCACUCAGGUCAGGUCCUCUUCUGGUGACCCUGCCCGAGAGGCCUGACUGAAGCGUCUCUCUCUGGAAACCUUGGGGUCUGUCUUCAGCAGCUCUCAGGGCCACCAUCACCAGCUGGUGGACUGGCCGAGCGGCAUUGAGUACUCUGUGUGCCUAGCAUCCCAGGGUAGCCGGCAGGGCUGAGUCAGCUGUGGGGGGUCUCAGACGCAGCCCCUAGGUAAGGCAGAACUUGAUGGGCGAGAGCAAGCCCGAGACAGACAGCAGCCUGGGCCAUCUGCUGCUCAGUCCCAGCUCCUGGCUUCUCUUCUCCGAGCCUCUGGAGGAGGUACUGUCAUUUGUUUAGGCCUCUGCAGUGUUUAAUCAUCACACAACACUCCUGCUUCCCGCUUCCCUCCGCCUCUCCAGCCCCUGCUUCCUUCCUGCAGGCAACAGCUUUUACCUUCAGCCUCUGAUGGAGGCCAUGAAAAAUUAACAGAGCUUGAGGCGAAAGAGACACUCAAAAAACACUGGGGCAGGAGGGGCUGGAGCAGCACCAGCAGGGCAAGCUUGAGGCCUGAGGGGGGCUGCUCUGGCUAGACAAUCGGCAACCCUGCAAGGCCACGGGGGUCACGCAUGGUGGUCAGCAGGCUGGAGCAAGUCCAGCUGCCCGUAGGGAGCCAGACUUCACAGUUUGGACUACCCUGGGAUCCUGAACCCGGGGAGAGUCUGAGGGUGAGAGUAGUUUCUUUCUCUGACCUUAACAGAGCCGGGUCCUUAACAGAAGGCCAGCAGCGUAUGCUAGACAGAAACCAGCACAUCCCCUUUUUUCUGCCAUCCAGACAGUCCUGGGGCCAGUGAGCCCUAUGUCUGUUCUCCUGGCCCCCAGAGGCUUUGAGGGCAAGAGCACGUGACAGGGGAAUCUACCCUCUUUGAGGGAGAAAAAAAUGGCAUUUUAUUUUUACAAAGUACAUAAUAAAUCCACAUUCCUCGUACAGCAAGCAGAUAUAAACAGAGGCAGCAAGAGCUCCAGAUCCACAGUUCUCCCAAUACCUGAUCCACCUCCCCGUUCUCUUCCUGAAGAGGCUAUGCAUGCAAUGCAUACAAUUAGAGUGGUGGAAACUGUUGUUGUUGACACCACCCCCACUUCCUCUCAGCAGGGGACCACUGCUGUUGGAGGUUUUUUUUUUUUCUUUCCCUUGCAGAGCUUUUCAAUCAUAGACUCACAGCAAAAACGUUUUGACCCCAUGCAGACACUUAUUUUGGGGUGCUCCUUCACCACCACCUCCUCCUCCUCCUCAGCCGGGGCUUCCUCCCAGGCCCUGGGCUCACCGCCUGCCGGCCCUGCUGCACCGCUCGGAACUCUGGGCUACCUGCUACUUAACAGAAGUUUCUUAGCCGACUUUCCCACUCCCCACCUGGAACAACACCAAGGUUUCUCUGUGUGGCUUCCACCGCCACACCUGUAGCGAGUGUGGGCAGAUGAGAAACACUACUGUUAGGCAGCCAGGUGUGCGGCGAGGGAGGAAGGAGCCCUUUCUACGAGCUGUCCCCUUUCAAGAAUGGAGAUUUCAGACCAAACACAUCGUGAAUUCCCAGAGGGCAGGACACUGUCUUCUCUAUGCGCCGCA